UACGUAGGGGGCUAGCGUUGUCCGGAAUUAUUGGGCGUAAAGAGCUCGUAGGCGGUUUGUCGCGUCUGCUGUGAAAACCUAAGGCUCAACCUUGGGCUUGCAGUGGGUACGGGCAGACUAGAGUGCGGUAGGGGGUGACUGGAAUUCCUGGUGUAGCGGUGGAAUGCGCAGAUAUCAGGAGGAACACCGAUGGCGAAGGCAGGUCACUGGGCCGCAACUGACGCUGGAGGAAGCGAAAGCAUGGGGAGCAAACAGG
rnacentral:rRNA from 1 species